AACUACCCCGUCGAACUGCCACGGUUCGAUAGGUACCUGUCGAACUACAGUUGUUCGAUAGGUUCCCCUGUCGAACCACGGUUGUUCGACAGGAUG
rnacentral:pre_miRNA from 1 species